rnacentral:lncRNA from 1 species
GAAAAUUGAAUGUGAAUCCUGCGAGGGACCGAGCUGACAGGGGGCACCAGAGCGGCAGCGCGCUCUAGGCGCGGUCCCCUCGGCCACCCGACGAAGCCCUAGGAGGAUGUCUUGGAAUCUGUACAACUGCCGUUCGCCAUUCACCAAUCUGCAUUGAAGCUCUGGGGACUUCCAGGCCUUGUGAAGUCGGGGCUUCAUGGAGGAGGUGAUACCUGAGCUUGGGAGUCAGAGAACAGGCAAAACUUCACCGAGUCACACACUUACAAAAAUAUUUUGCUUCCUUUAAGCCACUUGUUCCGGGCUGGAAUACAACAGUAGGUACAUCUGUUCUUUUUGAAGUGACAACUUGGUGGGGGAGAAAAUAUGAUUGCUCCAGGCAAAAACAUAAGUCCUUGAAAGAGCAGGAAUGAGGAGAACUGCAAAGGAGCAAGUGACAGGAUGCAGAGCACCCCAUGGAGGGCUUCUCGGAGUGGGGGAGGCCAGAGACAGGAAAAUGACUGGGACCUACCUGUGCCACAAGUAGAGGGUACAAAGCUUUGCCAACUCCACCAGCGCACCCAGGGGACCCUGCCCACUUUAAGCCCCUGUUCCAGGACGGAGCGCAAGCGGAGCCUCUACCUGCUGGGCUGGUUGGCAGAAUUCAAGGAAAUCAUCUCUACGAAAUGCCUAGCACAAGGUCAGGCAUGCACCAAAUGUUCCAUACAUGUUAGUCUCCUUCUCCUUGCCUCCCAGGCAAAGAGCAGCUCAUUUACCUAGGUACUGUUCAGUGAUUAAGUGCAUUGACUCUGGAGCCAGACUGCUUGGUUCAAAGCCCAAUUCUGCCACUUAUGAGCCAUGUGACCCUGGGCAAAUCACUUGUCCUCUCUGUGCCUGUUUUCCAG